rnacentral:rRNA from 1 species
UAGUCCACGCCGUAAACGAUGGAUACUAGCUGUCCGCUGCCUUGAGCAGUGGGCGGCCAAGCGAAAGUGAUAAGUAUCCCACCUGGGGAGUACGUUCGCAAGAAUGAAACUCAAAGGAAUUGACGGGGGGCCCGCACAAGCGGUGGAGCAUGUGGUUUAAUUCGAUGAUACGCGAGGAACCUUACCAGGGCUUAAAUGCAUUACGACAGGUCUAGAGAUAGACUUUCCUUCGGGCGUUUUGCAAGGUGCUGCAUGGUUGUCGUCAGCUCGUGCCGUGAGGUGUCAGGUUAAGUCCUAUAACGAGCGCAACCCCUGCCGUUAGUUGCCAGCAUGUAAAGAUGGGGACUCUAACGGGACUGCCGGUGCAAACCGCGAGGAAGGUGGGGACGACGUCAAGUCAUCAUGGCCCUUACGACCUGGGGCUACACACGUGCUACAAUGGGGCGGUACAAAGGGGCAGCAAACCCGCGAGGGGGAGC